UUCGUUUUCAUUUGGACUAGGCUGCGGUUGACAGGCUGCCUGGUUCAUACACCGGACUGGGGAACAGGACAUAUGCAAACGGAGGUUAAUCCCCAUGCGACUGACGAUCAAACCACGUACCUGACCCCUGUACAGAGGAGGAUUGUCUAGAUUUUCUGCAAAGAGGAACAUGUCUAUGAAGUGGAUCAGAACACUGGGAGCGAUUCUGGACUGAUCUGGACUGUAGGCGAUCCACUUGAAGAUCACCAUGAAGAUGAGGUAACCGAACAGACAGAUCAUGAAGAACAGCUCUGGGAU